rnacentral:SRP_RNA from 1 species
GCUGGGCAUGGUGAGGCACGCCUGUAGUCCCAGCUACUUGGGAGGCUGAGGCAGGAGAAUCACUUGAACCCGGGAGGUGGAGGUUGCAGUGAGCCGAGAUUGCGCCACUGCACUCCAGCCUGGGUGACAGAGUGAGACUCUGUCUCAA